rnacentral:rRNA from 1 species
UCUACGGGAGGCAGCAGUGAGGAAUAUUGGUCAAUGGGCGCAAGCCUGAACCAGCCACGUCGCGUGAAGGAAGACGGCCCUACGGGUUGUAAACUUCUUUUGUAAGGGAAUAAAGUGUAGUACGUGUACUAUUUUGCAUGUACCUUACGAAUAAGGAUCGGCUAACUCCGUGCCAGCAGCCGCGGUAAUA